rnacentral:tRNA from 1 species
GAGGAUGUAGCUCAGUUGGCAGAGCCCCGGAUUGUGGUUCCGGUUGUCGAGGGUUCAAAUCCCUUCAUCCUCCCCA